rnacentral:lncRNA from 1 species
UUUAUACUAGUGUGUGUGUGGCUUCUUGGAAAAGAAGUGUGUGGAAAAAAUUAUUAUAAAAAUUAAGAGAGAGAGAGAGAGAGAGAGAGAGAGAGAGAGAGAGUUGGGUGGAGAGUGAGGGGGGAGAAGAGAAGGUUCCUACAAAAGAAAAAAUGAGAAAGAGACAUGCUUUGGAAGGUUGAAUCCUCCAAUUUAUUGAGAAAAUUAGGGAUAAUUGUCUAUAUAUUCUUUACACGUUUGAAAAUAUUCAAUUUAUUCUUUUUUUUUUUUAUCUUUCUAAAAUACACAUCAUAUGUUCCACUGCUAUUGCAAAAUACCUCCGUAGUUAUUUCUUAUUAAGUAAACUUAAGUUAAACGUGAGUUAAAUAUGUACCACAGUUAAAAAAAUUACAAUGUUAAUUUUACCCUUAACUUAAGGGCAAAUAAGAAAUUUUGGUGACGGUAGAGAGGUAUAUUGGAAAAUACCAAAAGUCAAAAUACUUUUUGUGCCCUUGACUUUAAGGACAAAUAAGAAAGUCAGUAAUAGUAGAACGGUAUAUUCGAAAUGGCAAAACAGAAAUUUUAUAGAGAUAACAAAGUUAAUUAACAGAUUUUAACUAUUGGAAUAUAUUAGAAAUAGGUUGAAACGUAAAAAGAGUAUUUUCAAUAUUACCCUUCUAAGAGGAGUAAAUUGAAAAGUCGAAAACUUUUUAGGAAUAUAUAAGCAAUUGCCCCAUAAAAUUAUACAAACUUUAUCUUAGUUAUUUUUUAUUUUGAGCUGAUUAUUUAAUUUUUUAAAAUUUUAGUUUUACUUUCAAAUUUUUAAAUUUAUUUGAUUUGCGCUAGUGAGUAACUCUUUAAUUUUUAAUUUUGAAUGCGUUGUUUAUUUUUGUAAAUACAGUAAGCAUAUUUCGUAUAAUUCAU